rnacentral:tRNA from 1 species
UUAAAAUAAGUAUAAAACAAUAAUGAACUUCUAAUUCAAUUAUUAAAUGAAUCAACAUUUUUAU